rnacentral:rRNA from 1 species
CCCUGCAGUUCUCGCCUGGUUUCCUACUGAAGCUAAGCAGGGUUGAGCCUGGCCCGUACCUGGAUGCGAGACCUCGUGAAAAAAAACUAAGGUUGCUGCUGGAA